GGUGGUUUCAGCUGGAUAAAGCCAGAAGCGAGCAAGGAUUUGACAUGGCAACGUGCUCACGUGCCUUCCCACUCCGUGAUAAUUGACUCCAGAGCACACCCUGCUCCCCGCCCUCUUGUAUUUUAACAUGACCUUAGACUGGAACAGAGGAUAAUGAAGUUGCACAAACCAGCCAGGAACUGGAUUCAAAUAGCAACACUCAGUGUGGAAGAAAAAUUGGUAUAAACUCUCUACUAAGUAACCUAGUGACCCAUACUGGGACCUUAAAAAAAUGUAUAUUACUUUAACUAAACAGCUACAAUUCUAGGGUCUUAUUCUUAAGGGGAAAAGAAAUGCAUGAAAGAUAGAGAAAAGGAAAAGUAGAUGGGGGUGGGGUGGGGUGGGGAGACCAUUGGAAAGAAUAACAGUUUGAAUGUUUAUCACUAUUAUAUUAGAAAUGUUCAAUCUGCUGCCUCUUCUACCCUAUGACCCAGCAAUAGCACUGCUGGGAAUUUACCCAAGGGAUACAGGAGUGCUGAUGCAGAGGGGCACUUGUACCCCAAUCUUUAUAGCAGCACUUUCAACAGCCAACUUUCAAUAGCCAAAUUAUGGAAAGAGCCUAAAUGUCCAUCAACCGAUGAAUGGAUGAAGAAAUUGUGGUUUAUAUACACAAUGGAAUACUACUUGGCAAUGAGAAAGAAUGAAGUAUGGCCCUUUGUAGAACGUGGAUGGAACUGGAGAGUGUUGUGUUAAGUGAAAUAAGUCAUACAGAGAAAGACAGAUACCAUGUAUUUUCACUCUUAUGUGGAUCCGAGAAACUUAACAGAAGACCAUGGGGGUUGGGGGGGAAGGGGGAAAAAAGUUACAGAGAGGGAAGGAGGCAAACCAUAAGAGACUCUUAAAAGCUGAGAAUAAACUGAGGGUUGAUGGGGGUGGGAGGGAGGGGAAAGUGGGUGAUGGGCAUUGAGGAGGGCACCUGUUGGGAUGAGCACUGGGUGUUGUAUGGAAACCAAUUUGACACUAAAUUUCAAAUUAAAAAAAAAAGAAAUUUUAUGUGCAUCAUCUCAUUUCAUCCUCACGAAGUCAACAGGAUUGAGACAGUGAUGCUCGUGGCAUUGUUUGUAAGAGUGAAAAACAGAAACCAGCCUUUUUGUGUAACUGCUAAGAAUAACGUUAUGUCGUGCCCACAUAAUGCUUUAACACCAGACCUUUAAAAAUUGUUUAUAAAGAAUUCUGUACCAGUAGGAGAAAUGCUCAGAGUAAAAUAUUAAUCAAAGUAUAGAAAAUCAUAUAUGCAAUAGAAUUACCAAAAUACGUCUAUGUUUUACUUGUUUAUAAAUGUGCAUGUAUGUGAUACGUUAAAUGUUCAUGUAUCCACGUGUUCAUCAAAAAGUUCACGGUGUUAUAAAUGGGUGAUGGGAUCGUGAAUGGUAUUGAUUUUCUUCUUUACACUUUCUAAUGCUUUCCAAAAUUUUUACAACAAGCAUAAUUACUUUAAUCAUCAGUCAAAACAUUUAAUGGAAAUAGCUUAUUUACCAUAUGCUUGGAAGGCUAAUAUAUGAACACACGUUACUGCUCUGCUAAAAUAUCAACAUCAAAGGAAUUGCAGAGGCCAUAUUUGUCUAAUAAUGACAAAUUAUGGACAACUGAAAAAUAUCUAAGCUAUGUCAGUAACUGCUCUGCUGCUAUCAGCCUUGAAACGUACUCGAUAUAUUCUUGUGACAAACAACAUCGCAAGGGGUGUGACCCCAACAUCAGCAAAUAUAUAUUCAGUGUUUUUCUAGCCUGAAAAUAAUAGCGACCUGCUAACAUUCUUUGAUAUUAAAAAUACUUUGGGACUGGCUUUAAACCUGAUUAAAACCAUACAUGUAUUCCCGCCAUAUUUUUUAAAAUAUCUCAGUGGUAAUUUAUAGUUUGCAGUACAUUUUGUUAAUUGAUUGCAGUCCUAACAUCAUAAUCCUAAGAUAAAGAGUAUCAUAAACAUUUUAAUAAGAACAUAUGGUAGGAAAAUUUGGUACAGCCAAGCCUUUGAAGGGCGGUUUUCUUCCUCUAAAACAGAGUCAUAAAAGGUGUGGGGAAGCCUGAGGAGAUGAAAACAGACUGUGGUUCAUCAUCACUGAGAACCCCAGGCUCAGCCUUUUCUUAGGGAAUUGGAGGAAAGAGGGGACUAGGCUUCUGAACUUCAUCUGGCUUUUCUUUCCCUGAUUAGGAAGGUACCCCCUCCUUCCUUCUGUUAAACUCAGGAGCCAGAGGAGCGGGCCACACACGCCAUAUCUGUGGUCUGGGACUCUAUGUCAGAGGAGGCUGGAGAAGUGCUAAUAAGGCAUACUCAAAGGCAAAUCAUGUUUAAUGCCAGGGGACUUAACUGGUUUGUAGUUUAGCAGCUAUAAAUCAUGAAUAUUCUGAGACAAUUCAGAUGGGUUACUUUUUCGUUAUACUCAAGAGCUUAGAGUUGAGCAAAUAUAGUGAUAUUAUCUGGAGGAUUCCAACCCGCUAAAAUAUCCAGGUGUGGUUCCAAGGAAGCUAUAUGAUAUUAUAAUGUAUAAUAUAUAUAAUGUGUUGCUCAGAAUAUUAUCGUCAAGAAGGUAGCAAUUGAGUAAAUGAUUGCCUAUACACAACAAUUUGAAGAUGGAUGAAAGAGGUCCAUAGUCAAAAAUGUUUUCUUCCUGCGUGUAAUAUCACAUUUAGUGCUCUGCCAUUGUAAAGGUGGACUAAGCAUUAUUUCUUUGUCAAGAGUUCCGUUUUAAAAGGUUAGUAGGGUUGCUAAUGGUAGCACAAUGAGUUGCUGACAUUGGCCAUGAAAUAACCAAUUAGAUUGUGUUUUCCCAUAGAUGCAGAGAUCCAAAGUAGCCAGAUUAUGGCUCAGGGAAGAGAGGAAAGUGUCCAGAAGUAAAUGAUGCACCAACAAGAGUGUGAAUGGGGGAGGGAAGAGUAGAUAUGGAGAGCAAUGUUGAAAAUUGCAUAAUUCAUGGUUUCAUCUUGGAUAACCCUGGUUUUGGAGCUUCAAAGCAGAGGAAUGGAUGAUGUGGUCACUAGGCCUCUUCAGUUCGAGGGUUUCUUCACCCAGUUAUCAUAUCCUUGGGGAGCCUCUCAGGGACCUCCUUCCCUCUUUCCACACUUGUGAGUGGAGAUAGGAUUCACCAGAAAAGGGGAGCAGACAUCUUUUGAAGCCAGUGUUGAUAAAGGAGGUGUUUUCUUUGGCUCCACAGCCAGCCAUGCUUGUUGGCCGUAAACAAAACCAAAUAUAAAUAUUGAAUUUGAAUCUUCCCACUAAACAACAGGAAAGCUUUAGCCCAACCCCCACCGCCAUUCUACUGCUCUGGAACCUGGAGGCACUAAAUCAGGAUUUCUCAAUCACUAUUUCUCACAGGAUUUCACAGGAUUUCUCAAGCCCUAUUGACAGGUGAGACCAAAUAAUUCCUUGUUGUGCAGGGUCUUCCUGGGCAUUGUAGGGUGUUUAGUAGCAUCCCUGGCCUCUAUUCGCUAGGUGAAUAGUAACACCCAUCCCCCUAGUGUGACAAUGAGAAAUAUCUACAGACACUGCAAAGGUCCACCGGCGGCAAAAUCAUCUCCAGAUGAGAACCACGGCACUGAAUGGACAGAAAUGUUCAUCGUCACAGAACGGAGGGUACACAACUACAACCCUAUCUUAUUUAGUCCUAGACACCAAAGUCCUUCACUGAUUUUUAAAUCCAGAGGUAACAGAAAUGGAUGCUCCCCCUUGGUCUAUGCAGAAGCUGAAAUAAUAAAAAGACAUUUCUCAGGACUUGGAGAGGCCUUUCAGAGAAGACGUGUUCAAGAGCCAUUUGGUUUUCUGCACUUGUGAUCCUAACUAGGAGAUCUCAGUAGCAUUUGUAACCAAGGCAUCUGGAUCUAUGUGUAACUGCCUGAUAAUGUGGGCAUGUACCUUCUUCACAGGGGAAGCCUGUGGCCCACCCAUGCCGGAAUAACCAAAAAUAUUGCCAUGAUUUUCCAUGGUGCAUUGCCAUUGUGACCCCUGGGUUUGAGAAGAUAUAAAAGACCGUGUGAGGACUCUCUGUCUCGUGCUGGUACCACCUUGCAGACAGCUCACCGAAAGUUAGAACUUGUCUAUAUUUAUUGUGCAGACUCAGUGAGGCUCCUUGACGUUAAAGACCAUAAAAGUCAAACCUGGAAGGAACACAAGUGACCAGCAACCAACCCCUCAUUUUACAGCAAGUUGAGGAGGGUCACGAGCUACUUCAUGGCAGAGCCCUGGGCAGAGGACAAUGGGAUAUUCACAGCUAGAAAUGGACUGAACAGGUUCACAGAAAUAAGAAAAAAAAGUGUCAAAAUAAAAAGACUCCCCAAAGGAAUGACAGCCAAUCCUGCCUGAGUGGUUCUAGCUAUCGGAGGUAUAAUAAUAACACUCUCAAAAAUAAUUGUAAAGUAUUUUAACUUGAAAAAAGAAACAUAUUCUGUAGAUCCUUUUUUGAAACUUGAAGUAUUUAGAAUGGCAAACCUUUGGUCUCUUGAAGAGCACUAGAUCCUUUCCCCUCCCCAUACCAUCCCCCCGCUGUCAUUUAUCAAGACUGGCCUGGUUCUGUAGAAUUCCACUCAUUCUUUACGAGGGCUUUGACCUCCUCCAACCAAACAAGCAAGGUACAUUCUGGGAGAGUGUUAAUACCAGGGCAUGGGGGGUGAAGAGGAGGAAAUAAUCAAUGCUCUAGGACUUUCCCACACUUAGGGGAAUCAAUUUUAUCGGUGUUUAGACACCGGGUGUCAAGGCUGGUCAGAUGGAAGCCAAAGGUUCUGUGGGGGAGGGAGGUGAGAGGAGGCUGCUAGAGCUUAAAUCAUAGGACAGCUUCCUGGAAGUGAUUGACUCCAAUGGCCAGCUCAUUCAGAGAGACCUGCACAUCACAUCCCACGUACCCAGAUGCUGUGGAUCCAUCCUCUCUAACAUGUGAAAAAGACCAAAAAGACCACAAGGACUAGUUCUAGAAAAAGGCAGAUGCCAAGGGCAUUGUGCUCUGACUUCACUAGUACAUCAAGACUGUUCACAUGGCUGCUUUGUCUCAAUUAUCCAAAGAGCCGAUUAGGCCAAUGAUGUAUUGUCCAAAUCUUCUGCAUUUCCUCUUCCUUUGGUUGCUCUCCGGGAUAGUGAUGAUUAUGGCUCUCAUCAGAGGUGAGCAGGAGGUGAAACCCAAACCGGUCAGGUUGCUGCUACCUGGUAGCAUGUUUGAGCAAAGGAAGAGGCAGAAGCUCCUCUGUUAAUGGGAACCCGAAGCUUCUCAUGUUAUUUCUCCCACUUUCUCAUGUGCGCCAGGCUGUCCUAUUUCUCUGGAUCUCUGUUCAUGUUGCUUCUUCUUGCCUCCUUGUCACCGACUAGGUGUCCAUUCUUGUAUCAAGACCCAGGUCAUAUCUUCUCUCUGAAGCUGUCCCUGAUGUGCCCUCAUUACCUUUCCUUCACCUCCGUUCCCACUCUGCCAGAACAAAAGUGACUGUAACACUAUUGCACACGUCUGUUAAUGUCUGAACUCCCCUGAAGGCCGAUUCGUCUUUACCUGAUUCAUCCAGCACGGUGGACAGAGUCUGCUAGAUAUUCCAUAAGUGCUUGACGAGUACAUGAAUCUGUAGACUUAGAUUACCAAGGUUCUCUGUAUUCCUUAUAAUUCCAGAAACCUGAGCCAUGAGCAGGUGCAGAUGCUUCUCUAGACCAAUACACUGAUUGCUCGUGAAAAUGAUAUUAGCGUGGUCCUUCAGAUAUUCUGUUAGUUUCCUCCCUGCCAAACCCCAGACUGCAGCUCGGCCCAGUAAGGCUGGUUCUGACUACUGUGGAGUUUCUAGAACCUUCAUGGUUGGACAAGGGGCACUGGCACCACCACCCACAGCUCUGUAUGCCGCAAUCUCGUUCUUUCCACACCAGCCCCACUCUCUCCGCCCCAAGCAACAGGACUAUGCAAACAGGAGAGAGGCCCCAGGAACUCUGAAGUCCCAGUGACUCAUAUGCCGGCUGUAGGCCAUACCUACAUGACCGGGAGACUUCCCAUUAAAUCAACCUCUUCCUGAUACCAAAUGUCCCUACCAGUGACUGAUGCAUCCUCUGGUAAUCUGAAGGUGUCCUACAUACCUGCGUGAGAGAGUAAGCUGUUGUCCCCCUGCUCUAAACCUAUACUCUGCUUCUGAUGCCAAAGGAUACUCCACAAAUGACAUUUUACCUUUGCUAGCUGCUUUUUAAGAGGUUCUGUCAUUAAGGGCACUGGAGAGAGAUAGAGAGCAGGAGAGAAUGGACAAUGCAUUUCCCUCACCCUUUUUAUCUAUGGUGCCUGCCAAUGUCACCUCACACCAGGUGUCGAUGCAGGCUCCACCUCCCAGAGUCAGCCUCAAAGAGCUUUCUCAGAGUUACAAACCUCGGCAGGGCAACAUUUCUGCUUCCUCAGAGGUCGGGAUUACCACUCCACAGUCCUUUCCUCCAAGCCCUUCGGAUGCCAUCAGCACAGAACCUCAUCCUCAGGGGCUCAGGCCCCAGUUCCUCAGGCUUCUCUGUCUGAUCUUUUAGGCUCCAUAGCCCUAUUCUCAUCCUGUGUCCCUCCAGCAUUAGGGAGGUAGCUUCUUCCAUCUGCCACUACCUCUAUAUUACCUCUUUGUUCCCAAUUCACCUUUUCCAUCCUCCAAGAGCUAUAUGACAAAUCCCCUAUAUUAAAUUCUGUCUGUUGAAUUCCUAAUGUGGUUGCCAUUUUCCUACCUCUAUCCUUAACAAAUACAGUAUCUAAGGAUUCUUUCUGCCUGCUGCCCAGAGAGAAAUCUGAGGACCAACCCAACAUAGUCUUAAACACAAAAUGGCAGCAAAGUCUAAUAGAGAAAAUAAUUUCAUUAUGGGUGGGAUACUAAUUGUCUGAAUAACCUUAAACAAGCCUCGAGUCUUCAGACCAUAAAUGGGAGCUCAGUCCUAAGCUGGUGUUUGAAAGACACCAUCAUCUCUUCAAAACUACUUUUAAUAUCAACAGGCUGUACAGACACUAGUUUUGGUCUCAAUAGUCCCUGCAAGACAGCUCCUCCCACCUAUGUCAACCACACAGGAAACAUUCCAGAUUUGCUGCUUUGUGAAAAACUCACACCUUGACAGGAAGAGUUUGAGAUCUCCAAUUUCCUUUAUUGAUAAGAGCACAAUCACCCAUUUUCAAAAUAAGAUUUAUUCUGGAUGUUGCAACGCCAGGUCAACCAUUCUCCCUGCCGAGAGAGGUUAAGUGUUGGGGUGGGAGGAGUGUCAUUAUUGAAGAAAGGACAGGAAGCAGAGAGGACGGGAGAAAUGGAGUAAGGAUAGAAAGAAUGUGUUUCUUUCAUAUUUGGAGUCAGGCCAAAGUGUUAUAUUCCUAUGAAGAAUGGCUAGAUCUGGAAGAAACCUGAGAGAUUAGUGGACCGUGGGGGUGGGGGAAAGAGGCGGCACUAUCAAUUGCCUAAAAUUGGCCCCAAACAGGUUUCCUCAUUGUUCUGCCAAUUGGUUUUGCAAUAAAUUGGAGGAAAUUUGGCGAGAUAUUCAACCAGGGCAUGGACAGUGUAUUGGGACCAAAAUAAACAACUGUGAAGAACUUGGCAGUUUCUCAUUGGAUGUUUCAGAAGUGAGUUAUGUGACACCGAGUUGUGAGUUACUUCUUAGAGGUUUACAUAAUGAAAAUUAAAAUGAGACCAACGAUGAUAAGUUUUGCUCUUAACACUGAGAGUCAAACGCUAAAUAGGAAAUUCAUUUAUGGAACACAAAGGAUUAGAAGAAAUAUCAGAUAGAAUGAAAUCAAAUCAAAUAUUUAGGAUGAUUUAAAUACAGUCAGCACUUUGAACUCUAAGAAUUUACUCCAAAACUCCACAUACAGAAAUUAUCCAGGCCUUCUAGUACCUGGGAGUUUUCUUUUUUUCUGGAACGGUAUAUCCCUGAGACGCAGCCAUUGCUAUACUUUCUUGAAUGAGUAGCUAUGAAUGAAGAGACGUUCUUAACAAUUUGUGUGCCAUGAACCCUUUUGGAAAUUUGUUGAAGCCCAUAGACUUGUAGGUUUAAAUGCAUAAUUUGAAAUAUAUAGAAUUAUAAAAAAAUAAAUUAUAUCAAAAUAUUGUUAUCCAAGUACUUAGAAAACAAAAUUGUCGUUUGUGACAUAUGUGCUUCUUUAUUAACACACUCACUAACAAGACCUGACUGGGAUGAGAAGAGGCAGAAGUGACCUGAUCCUUAAGGGACAAGUUGAGUUGGCCAGGCUUAGAGUGCCAGUGACCUUCAGUUGGGGGAAGCAGCCAACACCAGAUGAUAUCUCAUGGAAGAAGUCAAUGGAACAAAUACUUUGACCUCACUCUCCUCCCUUCUUCAGAUCGCUGCACUGGGGGAAUCCAACCAGAAGCUGAAUGGCAAGGGAACCCUCUGAUGUCCUUCCAAGAACAAAGUGAACAAAAGUGAAGAGUGGCCUGGAGAGAAAAAACAGAAGAAAUCCAGCACAAUAUUGAAGACAUUUCAAACUCUGGUCCAAACUCCUCUUCACUUCUCUCCAGCCCUCACUCACAGAUAGCCUCUGUUAUGGACAUUCUAAAGUCCCAAACAUACCAAGCUAUUUGAGUUGUCCAUACUUCAACAUAAUCUAAACCAGUGCCAUCAGCUUCUUCUUCUAGUUGAGUUCCUGAUUGACUUCUUACUAAGUCUUUAGGAUCAAGAUCAAGUGUCAUCUCUUUUGAGAAACCUUCUCCAAUAUUCCAAGUAUUUAUUAAAAGUCUGUUUCCCCAGAACAUUGCAUCACUCCAACAUUUCCCAAACUACUUCCCUAAGAACAUGAGUCCUGGAGCAUGUUAUUAGGCCGAACGUGAAAUACCAGUUCACAGGGGAUCAGUGCUUCUGAAGCACAUUUUGGGAGAUGAUACUUCAUUGCAUUGCAGCAGUUACCAAAUUCCCUUAGUCUCUUGGUAGAACAUUCCCAGAAGGAAAGAACAGAUUUAUCUGAAGAAUAAUCCAGAUAGCAGUGGAAGUGAGAAGCAAAAAAUAGGAAGAGUUUGUGUCUUUAUUGGGCACAAGGCAUAUUAAGCCUACAUGUUGCAUAAAUAUACAAAGAGCAACAUUCUUCCUCUAAAUCAUAGUCCUGUCCUCAGAUGAUACACACUGAGGACCACAUAUAUUUGAACAACGGCAACAAAUGCCAGUUAAUAUGCAACUUUAAUCAGAGCAUGAAGCUUAGGCCAACCUGUUUCUAAGGAGUAUAAAAAGUCCCAGACCAAAUGGGACAGAAACAGGAACCAGAGAAAUGAGGACAAAACCUGUUGGUCCUAGUAGUUAUUCUAGGGUGAUAUUUUAGUUUUCUAAGAAUUACUUUUGGAAGCACACCCACUUCAUGUUCAUAUGCUUUUCUGUUUUCUUGUGAUAAAAAUCUAUUUUACAAAACAGUGGUAUUUUUGAACAAUGUAGACUGUCUUUGUCUAAAGAAAUAUAUUUUAAAAAAAAUCUCUCUUCACACUCCCCAACUCCCAUGAAGAAGAGGGAACAGCAUCACUUUUGGCUGUGACCACCUCAGAGUGUCACCAAGAGAGAGAUGGAGUGUAAGUGGCAGAAAGUUGGAGGUCCUUGACUUUGUGUCUCUUCCCUACUAGACUUUACUAGACUUCUAUCUAUCGAAACCCUUUUAUUUCUUGCCGCUAGCCAAUUGAGAAGAGUUUAUGAUGACUCCUCACCCCAUGGUAUUCUCACACUACAGAAAAGCCCAACCCCAAAGCAGCAGUGGUGUCUGAACCAUCUUGGUCCCUCUUAACACUAUUUUUCAUACCCUUCUUUGCCCUUGAGAAAUUGCUUGAUGGCAAUUGAACUAGAAAUGUUCAUGAUAACCUGUGGAUGUUUUCUUUAGCUCCUUUGGUGGAUAUUAUGGACACUGUGCCUUCGUGUCAGGGGAAAGUUUUAAAUCAGAGGUGAUUUUCAGGAAGUGUGUCCCUAAAGCAACCUGGAAGCAUGACUUUCAGACCUGUCACACCCAGUUAGGAUCUCCAUCAGUGGCUGGUCUGGUGUUGGCAAGACCCUGAGAGUGACCUGUGUGACCCUCUUGCUAAACUACAAAAGUAAAUUAAUCUCUUCCAAAUGUCAUGCCUUACAUUUGGCUAUUAGGACAUGAGCAGCCCAGAUGGCUGGGUUGAUUGAAAUGAAAACCAUUUUUCUUGUGACCGACUCAUAGUUUCAAGUCAAGCAGACUCAGCCAUAGCUUAAUCUCCUUUCUGCUCAAGCUCAUAAUGAGGCAAUGGAUCUUCAGUGGGCUGAGCAGGCAUGCACAACCUUGUUCAUAUGAGGAGAUAAACCAGAGAUAAUAUGCAGUAAGGAAAAUCCUCUGGGAGCACUGAGAACUUAGAUCAUUCAGUUCCUGUGAGCAGGUCCUGACUUCUCUGCACCUUGAAUUUUCUACCUGUAACGCACACUUAGCAAAGGUGACUUCUGAGCUCGGAAAUGAUGUGGCUAGAAGAACCCCAACAAGGCUGAGCAUUGCUCUCCCCUUGGAGAUUACCCACCCUAUUUGUCCCUUGCUUCCCUUCCCUACCCAUUUAUGCAUCAUCAACUUAUCACACUUGCAUGUAAUAAAAGUUCUACAGCUGGAUCUCUUGGACCCUUCAUCAUUUUUUUUAUCUAUAGAAAUGGUGAAGCAACCGAUACCUGGAAACUCCGAUAUAUCAGCAUCAAGAAUGGAAUGUGUGUGUUCGCACGUGCACAUGUGUACACAAGCCCGCAUGCACACAUCUUCACACGCACACACACGCACGUGUGCCUGCCUUCCAAAUUGCCUUAUUCUCACGUGAUGGCUACUAGAGUUACAAAAAGUCCAAUUGACUUUUUGUCCACUACAUUACCUUUCUUUCACCCAGGACCAAAAAAGGAUAUCAAGACUAAGCUUCACUCGCAUUUAUUUUUCUUCUUAAUUGAUACUGCAAAAUGUAUCAAUGGAAUGUUUUUGGAAUCAUGUAACAAAAGUGCUUUAAAAGGCAGGGACACAUCAAGAUGUCGUGAGGCUCCAGGAAGGGUUAAUUCAAGAGCUCAAUAGUUGCCUUCUCUCAGAGUCUCCUGGCUUUCUCUAAUGGUUAUAAUUUGCCUGUAGCAGCUCCAAACGUCACUUCCUAUAAGGCGACAUUCAAGACAAAAAGGAAAAGCCUAUUUUGAUGAAUCCUUUUGUGCAGUAUUUCCUCAAAGCCUCUAGCAUAUUCCCAUCAUCCUUCAUAUGCCAAUAUUAGAUUGCCCACCUCCAAGCCUGUCACUGGAAAGAGUAAGCUCAAGAGUCACAUGACUGACUUUGAUCAACCAAAGACCCUCACUUAACAUCCUCCUAGUUCACCUCCCUUGGCACAUGGCUUCCCUAAACCUCCACCAGGGUUCUGUUAGGAAGACAUGGCAACAAUUCCGUUGUUCAUUCAUCCAAAUACAAAUUGUAUGAACCUUCUUAACUGAAUGACAGACUACAGUUACCUAUAAUUGGAACAGAAAUCUAACGUCCAUAUGGCAGAUGUGUGGAAGCUUUUUUAUUAUAACUUAUAUAUGAGUUUACAGCAAAGUCUUCACUUAUUUCUAACUUCUUUUUUUGUCUGUUUGUUUGACUAUAUCUUGGGUAUUAAAAUCUUAACAUUCUUACCAAGCUUAUUUUUACCCCAAGCAUCACUUUUUUGGUAACCAUGAGACUAAAUUGCCAACCAAAGUUUUUUUUUUUUUAAGUUUAUUUAUUUAUUUGGAGAGAGAGAGAGGGUGUGUAUGUGUGUGUGCAAAUGGGGGGGGGGGCAGACAGAGAGAGAAGGAGAGAGAGAAUCCCAAGCAGGUUCUGCACUGUCCACACAGAGCCCAAUGUGGGUCUCAAACCCACGAACCAUGAGAUCAUGACCUGAGCCAAAGUUGGACACUCAACCGACUGAGCCACCCAGGCACCCCACCAACCAAAGAUUUAAAUAGGUACCAUCAAGUGUCUAAAGGCCCAAUUACCAUUGAUAUCUGGCAAAGAAAUCAAGAAGUGCUGAAAUGAAGUGAGUAUAACUAAGCUCAGGCUAUAAUGUAGCAGAAUGUCUUGUGUGUGUGCAUGUGUACGUGUUUGAGCAAGUGUGCAUAUAACGGUGUGUGUUACUAGCUGACAACACAUGCCUGCGAAAUGACUUGUUGAUAUGGUUUUUGACUUAAAUAUUGCUGCACAGUGUGAGUGCACUAAGGGCAGCCCUCAGCAGUGCCCCUGAACUCCAGAGUAGUUAGGUAUUUUCACAGGGACCAGCUGAUAUGUGUACUCGGCCAUGUGUAGCCUUACUCUGAUACUGGAAUCAAAACCAACUUUACAGACGGGGGAAAACAAAUAUAUUUAGAGAAAACCAGACUGGCGUCAAAGAAGGUUUCAUGCCAGCUGAAAACACACUGGAGAAGUGGACGGAUGCCAGUUGUUGUUUUGGUUUUGUUGGGUUUUUAUUUUAGAGAGACAGAGAGAGAGGGGGAGUGGGGGAGAGGAGCCGAGGGAGUGAGAGAGAGAAUCUUAAGCCGGCUGCAUGCUCAGAGCAGAGCCCCACGCAGGGCUCGAUCCCAUGAUCCUGGGAUCACGACCUGAGCCAAAUUCAAGAGUCAGACGCUCCACCGACUGAGCCACCCAGGCGCCCCUGGAUGGCAGUUCUGAUGCUCCUUUGCCCCUUUAUUGAGGGCCCUCGAUCAGUGUAUGUCACUCCCUAGCCCCCAGUGAUGGUGCGUUGACUCCCAGAGAGCCGGAUUUCUUUUCCAAAGUUCCAAAGUAGUGACACGCGAUCUGUAUCUCAACCUUCCUGCCACCACCCUGCCCCCCCUCCAUCCAAACUAGGCUUCCCGUGUUUUGUUGCAGUGUCCCUGCUUCAGGAGAUGCCACCUAGCCCUUAAGCUGAAAUUAAGUGGCAGCUUGUGGGCAGUGGUGACUUUGAGACGACACUUUUGCAAUGGGGCAGCUGCCUACAGGUCAUUCCUGAAAGGGACAAUUCUCUGGGACGUUUGGGGACAUCUCAGCAUGGGAGACAGGGGGCUCUAUUUAGAACAGGGGAGAUCCUUCCCAGAUUCGACCAAGGUGACGGCCUCUGGCUCCAUGCCAGCUUCGAGCCAGUUCUGACCAUGAGGGCUGAGAUUCGGUCACGUGGUAGUCCUGGGCUCAUGUCUGUCCGCUUUUAAAAUAGCCAAGUGAUCCAGCCUCAGAACCAAAAAUUCAGAAGUCUCAGAGUAAAUCCCAGACUCUGCAAUUCACUCUUCCCCCACAGGCCAAACAAGAACUAAUUUUAAACAAACCACCAUGACCGAGCCUGGGGGAAAGGCCCAGAAUGCUAAUCAACGGAUCCGGCAAAACUGGACACCCCACCGAAUUGUUUACUCUUCCCCGGGCCUUUCAGAGACGGAACGCUGGGCUGGGGUUUGGGAUGGUGUUCAUUCCACCCUGAAAUUCUCUUUUCAGGUUAGGAUUAGGAAAUCCUUCCCCAGGCCGGUCCCCACCGAGCCAGAAGCUCCUGCCUUCAUCCUUUUUUUCUGUUUGUUUUCAUUAAGGACUCAAGUCUAGAUUCCUAUAAUAGAUGAGCUGAAAAAAGUCUCCAGCUAAAAAUUAUCCACAUACGUGUGUAAGUCAUGAGUUUCUAUGUCAGUCCGGGUUAGCCAGAGACACAGGAUCGAUAGGACAUGAAUCUAUACUUGUAUAUAUAUGAUAUUUAUUUUAUAUAGUUUAAUAUAGUUUAUAGAUGCAUAUAAACACAUAUUUAUAACAGCUGAAUACAUGAGCCAGUUCCUGAAAAUUAUACACACAUGCACAUACAUGCACAGGCAUGUAUGUAUCAUAUAUUUUUAAUGAUUAUACAUAUAUAAUACAUAGUUUUACAAUACAUAGUAUACAUGUGUAUGUAUAAUAAUCACAAAAUAUAUGAUACAUACAUGUGUAUGGUCAUGUGUGUGUGUGUGUGUGUGUGUGUGUGUGUAUAAUUGUCAGGAAUUGGCUCCUGUCCCCUAUGGCUCUAGUCCCCCUAUGGGGACUAGAAAGUCCAAAAUCCAUAAGGUGGGCCAACUAAGCUAACAACUCAGGUGUGAAUUGAUUCUGCAAUCUAGAAGCAAAUUUCUUCUUUUCUGGGAAACCUUAGCUCUUGCUCCUACAUCUUUCAACUGAUUGAACGAGGCCCACCCGCAUUAUUGAGGUACUGUCCUUUCCUUGCAGGACCACAGGUUGUAAAUGUUAACCACACCUACAAAAAACCUUGUCAGCAUAUUUAGACCACCGUUUGAUGAAAUAGCUCAGUGCUAUUAUAGCUUUAUAAUAGCUAUUAUAGCUUUGCUGAGUGGACACAAAAGGAGCCAUCACUGCUUUCGAUGGUUUCCUUGGCAUCUGAACCUCUCCGUGAAGUUCGUGUAGCAUCAGAAGCUGUCAGAUUGUUCAAAACUCUUAGCUAUGCAAAGCUGCAGACUUUGUGGGCCUGGGAUGUGUGGGUGCCAUGCCAGGCAGCGCCACCCCAUGACGUGGGGCUCUCGGUGUCUAAAUAAUAAUGAAACAAGUCUCAGGUUACACGCCUGCAUGACGUGUUAAGCAAUUUGCUGACAAUGUAACAGCAUCCCUUGGCGGAUGUGUUUUCGCUGAAAUGAAUCCCUUGCAGAUGAGGAAAACCCAAGGCUCAGAAAGGUAUCUGAGGUCACACGGCGCUUUCAGCAAAGGAUCCGAUCUGAACCCGACCGUUCUCACUCCUGUUGCCCGCACUGUGUCCUGGGGAGCGGUACCUCUAAGACUGGCAGUGGAUGGAUUAGAAAUUUCUUCUUCUGUCUUUCCCCUUCUGCCUUUUCUCUCUUGCCUGCAUCCUUCCCAUCCACCGUCCUAGAGGGUGAUGCACAGCUCCUCUGGGCACGGCUGUGAGCUGGGAAGUUUGCAGUGGUGGGAGGAAGGGGGGGAUGGGAGGGAGGGGCGGGUAGAGCUUUCUCAGCGAACACUAACGGGGUCAGGCAGGCAAGUUUUGAGCUGCAGAGCGCCUUCAUGCCAAAACAUCAAAUUUGGCCCCGAACAGGGUUAAAACGUUACCCCUGGCCAAAGACGUCCCGGGCCAUCCUCCACCACUGCCAGUCACACGUACCCGGGCCACAUUUUGACAUCAACCCCUGUGAGUGCCAGUCUGGAAGAGAUGCGAGACGCUGCCAGAAGCAGCCCCAGGUGCUCACCUUCAAGCCCAGGUGCUCGCCACACGCCAGAGCUUUCCCGCGGCGCAGUCGGGCCGCCCCUGGUGUAGUCACCGGCCCAAUCAGUUGCACGUAACAAUGUCUCCGGGGUUUUUGUCCUCAUCCGGCCUCAGGUACGACUCACAGAUCCGCCGCACGAGCCCUCCCGGGUCGUGCCACGUGCACGCUCAUUGGGAACACUGACAAUGUCACCCCACGGACAGGCUAACGGACACAGCGCCUGCAGCCACCCCCCAGAAACGGUUGUAGUUCACGCGUGUCGGGCAGCUCCUGUCCCAGCCCUUCCCUCCAAGUGAAUCAACACAAAUGAAAACUGGCUGAUGCCCUGGUCCGCCAGAGACUGGGGAACAAAACCGCGAACGGGAGACCGGCCGAUUCUAAUUUAAUUCAGAAGGACAAACGGAAUCACUCAGCAGACCUCAAAUCCCCAGUCAGAAAAUUGUGCCCAGGGAGCCAACAGUUUUAUGGACCAUCUACCCCACCUACUCCCUCUGGCCGCAGCAAGGAGAUUAAAAUAGCUCCCAGAGCCUUACUCGAUGAGUGACGGUCUCGUUAUUACAUUGCUGUCCACGUUGACCUCAUGCUCUCUUACCGAAAAGUCAAAUGCACAGUAGAAAGCUUUUAUUUCACAAAAUAACUACAGCACUUCUAUGUAAUGCUUGCAUUCUGCGUCUCUCCUUCAUGUCACUCAAGAUGCUACUGAAACGCUGCUGUCUCAAAGAGAUCGUUCCUGGCCACCUGCUCUAAAAUAGCACCUUCCACCACCUAACACACCCUCUACCCUCUAGAUAUGCUUCAUCUUUCUUUCUGCCAUCAUAGCAUAUAUUUGUUCGUUUACUUAUGAUCUGUCUCCCCUGCUACCAGGUAAGCUCUAUGAGGACAGAGACAUUAAUUAAUUUUAAUCAUGGCUAUGUUUCCAGCCCCUAGAACAGUAUGCCACAUAUAGGAAGGGCUCGAUAAAUAAAUAUUUGUUUAACGAAUGAAUCAACGGACUGGUCCAAGGAUUGGUCACUUAAAAGACCCUCUGGAGAACAAGCAGUCCUGGGGUUUGAUAGAUGAAAUUUCUCUUCAUUAGAGAGCUACUCUGAAAGUCCUUGACCUGUAGCAAUUCACAGCUUCAAAUCCCAUGUGAUAUGAGUAAUCUGGUGUUAGGGAAUAUCUGACUUGGCUGGUCAGAAAGCCAGCCUUGGAAGUUUUCUACAUGACCCAUGGACAGAAGUACUCUUGAGGAGGUAUAAGGUAGAAAUUUUGAGAUCAAGAGUUCAAAAUUGGGGGCGCCUGGGUGACUCAGUCGGUUAAGCGUCUGACAUCAGCUCAGGUCAUGAUCUCACGGUUGGUGAGUUCGAGCCCCACGUUGGGCUCUGUGCUGACAGCUCAGAGGCUAGAUCCUGCUUCGGAUUCUGUGUGUGUGUGUGUGUGUGUGUGUGUGUGUGUGUCUCUUCCCUUCCCCCAUUCACGUUCUGUCUCUCUGUAUCUCUCAAAAAUGAAUAAACGGUAAAAAAAAUAAAAUAAAAAUUAAAAAAAAAAAGAGCUCAAAAUCAGAUUACCAGAUCCAAUGCCUGGGUCUGGCACUUUGUAGAUGAAUGGUCUUGGGAUAUUUAUUGUUAACAUCUGCACGUUCAAGUUCUUUUGUCUGUAAAAUACGGAUGAUAUGACUCGGACUUAUUUCAAAGGGUUUUAUGGGAGGAGAAAUAAGCAAAUACAUGGAGGUCCAUAUUAGAAUAGGUAACCGGUUAUUGUUAAUGCUAUUAUUUUGAAAAAUUAAUGAAAACAUUAUUUCAUUCAGUGCUUGGCUGAAGUAACAAAGCAACGAGGGUGCAAAAUGUCAGGACGCACUCACUUUCAGGUGCCAACCAUGCACCUGUGUGUCCCUGAGAGUGAGUGUUCCCUCACAUUUUGCCCUCCAGGUAUGUUGCUUACCUCACUAUAGUCCUGGCUCUGUAAGAAAGGACAAGCAGGGAAAAAGAAGUGUAAAAACCUUUUUCAGUGCAGUUUGUCUCAUGGUAUAAUGAUGUCUACUGAAAACACAUCACUCUCGGGGUGCCUGGGUGGCUCAGUCUGUUAAGUGUCCGACUUCGGCUCAGGUCAUGAUCUUGCGGUCCGUGAGUUCGAGCUCCGCGUCGGGCUCUGUGCUGACAGCUCAGAGCCUGGAGCCUGUUUCAGAUUCCGUGUCUCCCUCUCUCUCUGCCCCUCCCCUGUUCACGCUCUGUCUCUGUCUCAAGAAUAAAUAAACAUUAAAAAAAAUUAAAAAAGAAAACACAUCAUUCUCAAGGGAAAUGUGACACAAGAGAAGAGCACAGCAGGAUCAGCAUUCCACUUUUAGCUCAGGUUGGGAUUCCCAGAGGUCUCUGGAUGAAACUCACAUUGACAAGAAGACCUGCGGUUCUCAGCGCUAAUCUUGAGUCUUAACUUGAGGUUCCUUGGGCUUCCGCCUGGUAUGUCUAUAGGCUUAUUCAAAUACAAGUUCUGCAAAGAGAGUUCUUUUAGAUAUACCUAUAAAGACCAAAUUUUAUCACUGGAAUCAAAUGCAUUGUUCCAGUGGCACACGAGUGACAUUAUACUCCUAGACUUUGGACAAGAUGAGAAUGGUGUGAGCCAGGGGCUGCGGGAGAUGUGCCAAACCAUCAGGUGUCUAAUGUUCACACACAUUUAAGGACAAAUGGCUAAAGUGGUUCAUUCCUACAUAUGAUGGUAUAGCUCCUGCCAUGUUGAGGGGCUAAACCAGCCCUGCUUUCUCACCACACCUGAUGACCCCAGGGAAUGCUUGAUAAGACAGAGACGGCCACAUAUACACCCACUAUGAAGAAGGCUAAAUGCCUCUGGGCAUGUCCUUCCUUAAUUUCUGCCCCCCAAAUUUGUUCAUGUGAAACGGCAGCGUCUAAGCCUGAUAAAAUCCUUUCUUUCAGAAACUAUGACUCUUAGGCAAAGAGAAGGCUAGUGUCUGAAGCCCAGUUCUCCAUGAGUGUUGAUAUACCUCACAGUCGGGGGUCUACUAAAAUCUAGGGAGUCACUGUGAUGGAGGACAGAGUGUUCCUUUCUUCCCUGAACCUACACCAAUCCUUGAAACACAUCCCCAUUGCAUUUCGUAGAAGGCAGCCUAUGUGUGGGUCUUUGCAGAGCCUGACACAAAGUCUUACACACCACCUUCAAAUGUUUUAAUGCAUUUAAAUAACGACACAACCACCAGGGGCGCCUGGGUGGCUCGGUCAGUUAUGUGUCUGACUCUUGAUUUCGGCUCAGGUCACGAUCUGUCCGUUUGUGAGUUCGAGCCCUGGCUGGGCUCUGGGCUGGUGGCGUGGAGCCUGCUUGGGAUUCUCUUUCCCUCUCUUUCUGCCCCUCCCCUGCUUACGCUCCCUCUCUCUCUCAAGAUAAAGAUAAACUUGAAAAAGUUUUUUAAAAAUAAUGAUAUAACUACCAAACUAAAGGUGGAAAAAGGCUAAAAUGCCAAGAACACAUGUGUCUGUCCGUCAUCACGUUCGUCCAACAGAGGUGGCUGAUUUUUAAGGCAUUAAUGAAGACACCCACAGUGGUAGUCGUGACACCUCCACCUGUUUAAUUAUUUCUCGCUGUGUUUGUUAGAGAAUGGAAGCUCUGAGCUAAAUAUUAAAUGUGUUCCUGUACAAAAGUGCACGUCCAUAGGCUUGUUUGAUCACAGUAUAUCGCUCUCAUUCUAAGUUAACCACGGUUUCUAACACAGAUAAGAUUUAGAACUUGAAGCAAAUUCAAACUGAGAAAAUAAAAUGGAAGAGAAAUAUGUAAUUAUGACCAAUCUUUUAGCGGCCAACUUUGAAAUAUCAAACCAUUUAAUGGCAUGUUCUUCCAUCUUUAUUCCCUCUCCUUCUUCCUUUGGUCAGGGACCGGUGGAGUAUUGACAGUGGACCGUCCCUUCAAAAAUGUCAGAAUGUUCACAUCCAGGGCCCAGAUGUACUGGUUAAACAGCUGGCAGUGGAAUUUGACUCUCAUGGAAAGGGUUGAAGACAUGAUUUAGUCAUUGACCUCCACUGUUUGCUCUGACUUCUUACAGGGGAGUUCGAAGUGGAGCUGUGAAGUUUCCCAAGCUCCAUUCAGGUGACAAAGGUCCACCCUGCAAACAACAGCCCUUCACCUUCCGAAGACCUGACACCUAUGAAGUAACAGGGAAGGAAUUUUCUGGCUCUGCUUCCUGGCACAGUCAUUACUCGGAUUCAUCUAUUCCAAUUAGUUGGCCAUCACAACUGAGCCUCGAGAAAAUUGUAUUUAGUGAGCUGAAUAAACUGGACAAUUGGAAUCAGAGAAAGCACCAAGCACUCCCCAUGUUAAAACAAGUCCAGAUCUAUACACCUCUGCUCCUGCCUCCUACAUUGACCCGCAAGUCUCGGGAUUAGACCAAAUAAAGCUGGUCCCAUUGACUUCAGGGAAACGGAAACUCAAGGACAGAGAUCAGCAGACUUGGCACAUUUUAAGCCCAACGUGCCACUUUUUAAGAUCUUUGUUCACCUGUCCCUCAACUGUGUAUCCUGCUGUGGUGGUAGCAGAGACAACAUUUAGAGAUCUGAGUGCCAGCGGGAGAUGAAGAAGCACGUUCUAUUUGUCAUUAAGUACAGAGAUGCCGUGAAUCUUUCCAACCU
rnacentral:lncRNA from 1 species